rnacentral:rRNA from 1 species
AUGAGUCAUCCUGAUGGCAUGAAGAUCCCCGAUGGCAAGUUCUACCUAGCAGAUGGUGGCUAUGCAUGUCGGCCAGGUGUUCUUCCACCCUUCAAGAAAACCAUGUACCAUCUGAACGAGUUCUCUGGUAGGAACUAUUCUAGGACUCCUCAUGAACUGUUCAAUCUUAGACACUUUAGCCUUAGAGUAACGGUUGAGAGGACAUUUGGAACUUUGAAGAAUAGGUUUAAGAUCCUGGAUCAGAAGCCAUACCAUCCUUACCCUACCAAGGCCAGGCUUGUUCUUGCAUGUUGCAUCAUUUACAACUGGAUCCUGCAAUGGGGAACUGAUGAACUUGUGGAGGAGGAAGAUGUGACACCUGAUGAGGUGGUCAUCUCCGACCAUGGUGUGGAGGCGUUUGACAAUGAAGUGUGGAAGAACAAAAGGUUGGACUGGGCUCAGGAAAUGUGGGAUAACUGA